rnacentral:rRNA from 1 species
CAGCAGCCACGGUAAUACAGAGGGUGCGAGCGUUAAUCGGAUUUACUGGGCGUAAAGCGUGCGUAGGCGGCUUUUUAAGUCGGAUGUGAAAUCCCUGAGCUUAACUUAGGAAUUGCAUUCGAUACUGGGAAGCUAGAGUAUGGGAGAGGAUGGUAGAAUUCCAGGUGUAGCGGUGAAAUGCGUAGAGAUCUGGAGGAAUACCGAUGGCGAAGGCAGCCAUCUGGCCUAAUACUGACGCUGAGGUACGAAAGCAUGGGGAGCAAACAGGAUUAGAGACCCGCGUAGUCCCUGUCUCUUAUAC